CUUAGGAUGAACGCUAGCGACAGGCCUAACACAUGCAAGUCGAGGGGCAGCACAAGGAGCAAUCUGAGGUGGCGACCGGCGCACGGGUGAGUAACACGUAUGCAACCUGCCUGUAAGCGGGGAAUAACCCGUUGAAAGACGGACUAAUACCGCAUAAUACUAAAUUACUGCAUGGUAAUUUAUUUAAACAUUUAUGGCUUACAGAUGGGCAUGCGCAUGAUUAGCUAGUUGGAGAGGUAACGGCUCCCCAAGGCAACGAUCAUUAGGGGUUCUGAGAGGAAGGUCCCCCCACACUGGUACUGAGACACGGACCAGACUCCUACGGGAGGCAGCAGUGAGGAAUAUUGGUCAAUGGACGAGAGUCUGAACCAGCCAAGUCGCGUGCAGGAAGAAUUGUCCUAUGGAUUGUAAACUGCUUUUGCAGGGGAAUAAAGUGCAUCACGUGUGAUGUUUUGUAUGUACUCUGCGAAUAAGGAUCGGCUAACUCCGUGCCAGCCGCGGC
rnacentral:rRNA from 1 species